UACGUAGGGGGCGAGCGUUGUCCGGAAUCAUUGGGCGUAAAGAGCUCGUAGGCGGCUUGGCAAGUCGGAUGUGAAAACUCCAGGCUCAACCUGGAGCCGCCAUUCGAUACUGCUAUGGCUAGAGUCCGGUAGGGGAGUGUGGAAUUCCCGGUGUAGCGGUGAAAUGCGCAGAUAUCGGGAGGAACACCGAUGGCGAAGGCAGCACUCUGGGCCGGCACUGACGCUGAGGAGCGAAAGCGUGGGGAGCGAACGAGG
rnacentral:rRNA from 1 species